UUAAGCAUAUGUUCUCGGUUUACUAAAAUAGUCACUUGAAAACAAUAAAUGUGUAAUUUUCAUUUGUAACCCAUUAACUGAAAGUCAAAGUAACAACAGUCUACCUUGGCACGACAAUUGUCACAGUUGACUAAAAAGGGUUUGGAAAUGGUCUAUAAUCUUGUUCUAUCACAAAUGGUUUCAGUUCAAGAUCAUAGAAUGCUUGGAUCACUAAUAGCCACUGCAACCAGGCACAUGUCGUGCAAGGACACAUUGAUAUAAUAAAAAGCAGGACAACUGACAUUAACCAUGAAGAAAUUGUCAGACAUGUGAUGGCAUCAGUGUAAAACAGAUGGUGUCCAAAGUGUGGCAAGGGGCAGUCAGAAACUCUGAAUGAUUUAGUUCAGCCCUGACCACAAUUUUAAAAGUGGAGCAGAUCUGGCUUACAAGUUGAUUCAGAUUAUUAGUUUUUCAUUUUAAAGUUAGGUAAAACACAUGAUAUUAUUCUUUAUUAGUCACGUUUCAUACAUUUUGAAUUUGUUGUAAACAGAAGCCUAAACAUUCUCUAACACCCCCACAUUGAUUAACCUUGACUAAACACAGCAAGCACUGACCCAAGUCCCGUUUUUGUUGCUAAGCAGAAAUCAGGGACACUGUUUAUGUUUUGAAUCAGCAAUGAUUUACAGAUUCCUUUUCAACAAAUGAUUGACAGCUUUGUUCAUUUCAUUAAGAUCCUGCACGCUUGGUAUGAUAUUGAAAAUUGGUGGACUGAGCUCACAGUCCACCAAUUUAGAUUUAGAUGAAAAGUCUUUGGGAAAUGUUUGUUUUCUGUGCACAGGUAAAAUGAAAGGUCUCUGUUUGACCAUUAGUGCUAAAAUAUCAAGCUAAUUAGUGGCAAAAAAGUUUACAAUUAACUUAAAACGCAGAAAACAUCCAGCCAAGAUUUUCACAUUUGAAAUCUGUUAUGUGCAGAUAUUUUCCACUAACUGAAUAAACAGCUGUAUAAUAACUUUUCAGCCGCAAUUAACAGUUUCAGUCUGCGGGCAAUCACAGAUGGUCUGGCCGACUACACGCUGCAGCAACUGGAACACCGUGGACAUUGGACAUUGCCACCUCCCCGGUGAGACCAGCCUAUCAGCGGGUCUCCUGAUAAGUCCAAGCAGAAUUAAAAUCAGCUCAUAAUCCUGAUGAACAGACAGCAAAGAUGAAGUUUGGAGGUGUACUUCCUUCCUGUCAGGAUUCUGUGUGUCUGUGCUCUACUAACUCUGCUCCACAGGUGGCUGCAGUUGACGGGUGGGCGUGGCCCACACCUGCGGCUCAUCAGGGCUGCUCGGGUCGGGUUUAAAAGGAGUGCUCACUCAGCUGGAAGAUGCCAGAGUGUUACCCCGUUGUGGUAUGCUUAGGCCAUGAUCUGUCUCCUGACCUUCGUACCUCUGCUCCUUUUGCCUCCGCUGCUGUGGGCUACUCGAGCUCCCGGCCAGAAUAACAUCUGCCAGCCCUCCUGUCACUCAGCCACCUACUACCAUCAGUGAGCUCACGGCCACAGAACUCCUUCCCCACUCAUCCUCCCCGGAUAGGUUCUCUCAACUAAGCGUCCCUGAUGUUCCAACCUCACUCUUCGUUCUAGUUGUGUGCAAUCCCUUCAUUCCUGCCUGUAGCUCAUGUUGUGUGAAAAGAACCUGC